rnacentral:rRNA from 1 species
AAUAUUGGUCAAUGGAGGCAACUCUGAACCAGCCAAGUCGCGUGAAGGAUGACUGCCCUACGGGUCGUAAACUUCUUUUUUAAGGGAAUAAAGUGAGCCACGUGUGGCUUGUUGCAUGUACUUUACGAUUACGGAUCGGCUAACGCCGUGCCAGCAGCCGCGGUAAUACGGAGGAUCCGAGCGUUAUCCGGAUUUAUUGGGUUUAAAGGGUGCGCAGGCGGAAUAGUAAGUCGGCGGUGAAAGUUUGCAGCUUAACUGUAAAAUUGCCGUUGAAACUGGUUUUCUUGAGUGUAUAUGAAGUAGGCGGAAUUUGUAGUGUAGCGGUGAAAUGCAUAGAUAUUACAAGGAACUCCGAUUGCGAAGGCAGCUUACUAAAAUACAACUGACGCUCAGGCACGAAGGCGUGGGUGUCAAACA